rnacentral:rRNA from 1 species
CCUACGGGUGGCAGCAGUGGGGAAUAUUGCGCAAUGGGCGAAAGCCUGACGCAGCGACGCCGCGUGAGGGAUGAAGGUCUUCGGAUCGUAAACCUCUGUCAGCAGGGAAGAACGGUCACUGUGCUAAUCAGCAGUGAAUUGACGGUACCUGCAAAGGAAGCACCGGCUAACUCCGUGCCAGCAGCCGCGGUAAUACGGAGGGUGCGAGCGUUAAUCGGAAUUACUGGGCGUAAAGCGCUCGUAGGCGGUAUGUCAAGUCAAGGGGGAAAUCCCCGCGCUCAACGUGGGAACUGCCUUUGAAAAUGGCAAACUGGAGUGUGUGAGAGGAUAGUGGAAUUCCAGGGGUAGGAGUGAAAUCCGUAGAUAUCUGGAGGAACAUCAGGGGCGAAGGCGACUAUCUGGCACAUAACUGACGCUGAGGAGCGAAAGCGUUGGUAGCAAACAGGAUUAGAUACCCGUGUAGUC